rnacentral:misc_RNA from 1 species
GGGGUAACAUGUAGAGGCGUACCAAAUAGCGUGUCAAUAUGAGUCAAAAUGACACCUAAAUUUCAUGCAUUCAGUUGCCUCUGUAGUUAAAUAUGCCUUUGAAUUGGUUAAAAAUUACAGUUAGUUCUAGGUAUAAGACCAUUCUUCUAUAAUUGUAUUUGCAUAUUGUGUCACUGUAGGGUGCACUUAGUGGCACAUUUAACAUAGGAUUGUAUAUGCAUAAGAUUAUCAUAUAGAGCUAUGCUUAUUGCACCCUAUUGCAUAUACAAUCCUAUGUUAAAUGUG